UCACCAGGUUGAUUCUGCCUGACGUAGACGCUAUUCCCUAAGAUUAACCCAUGCAUGUUUUUGACAUUUGAAAAAUGGACUGCUCAGUAAUACUCACUUUAUUUUAUGUAAAUUUUUAAUUAACUACGUUAAAGUGUAGAUAAGAUGUUUACAGUAAGAGUGAGACCUAUCAGCUAGUUGUUAAGGUAAUGGCUUAACAAGGCUGUGACGGGUAACGGUAUUACUUUGUAAUAUUCCGGAGAAGGAGCCUGAGAGACGGCUACUAAGUCUAAGGAUUGCAGCAGGGGCGAAACUUGACCUAUGGAUUUUAUCUGAGGCAGUUAUGGGAAGUAAUAUUAUAUUGUUUCAUAUUUUAAAAGUAUAUGAGGUGAUUAAUUGGAGGGCAAAUCAAGUGCCAGCAGCCGCGGUAAUACUUGUUCCAAGAGUGUGUAUGAUGAUUGAUGCAGUUAAAAAGUCCGUAGUUUAUUUUUUAAGAAGCAAUAUGAGGUGUACUGUAUAGUUGGGAGAAAGAUGAAAUGUGACGACCCUGACUGGACGAACAA
rnacentral:rRNA from 1 species